rnacentral:rRNA from 1 species
GCANUCGAGCGAACGGACGAGAAGCUUGCUUCUCUGAUGUUAGCGGCGGACGGGUGAGUAACACGUGGAUAACCUACCUAUAAGACUGGGAUAACUUCGGGAAACCGGAGCUAAUACCGGAUAAUAUUUUGAACCGCAUGGUUCAAAAGUGAAAGACGGUCUUGCUGUCACUUAUAGAUGGAUCCGCGCUGCAUUAGCUAGUUGGUAAGGUAACGGCUUACCAAGGCAACGAUGCAUAGCCGACCUGAGAGGGUGAUCGGCCACACUGGAACUGAGACACGGUCCAGACUCCUACGGGAGGCAGCAGUAGGGAAUCUUCCGCAAUGGGCGAAAGCCUGACGGAGCAACGCCGCGUGAGUGAUGAAGGUCUUCGGAUCGUAAAACUCUGUUAUUAGGGAAGAACAUAUGUGUAAGUAACUGUGCACAUCUUGACGGUACCUAAUCAGAAAGCCACGGCUAACUACGUGCCAGCAGCCGCGGUAAUACGUAGGUGGCAAGCGUUAUCCGGAAUUAUUGGGCGUAAAGCGCGCGUAGGCGGUUUUUUAAGUCUGAUGUGAAAGCCCACGGCUCAACCGUGGAGGGUCAUUGGAAACUGGAAAACUUGAGUGCAGAAGAGGAAAGUGGAAUUCCAUGUGUAGCGGUGAAAUGCGCAGAGAUAUGGAGGAACACCAGUGGCGAAGGCGACUUUCUGGUCUGUAACUGACGCUGAUGUGCGAAAGCGUGGGGAUCAAACAGGAUUAGAUACCCUGGUAGUCCACGCCGUAAACGAUGAGUGCUAAGUGUUAGGGGGUUUCCGCCCCUUAGUGCUGCAGCUAACGCAUUAAGCACUCCGCCUGGGGAGUACGACCGCAAGGUUGAAACUCAAAGGAAUUGACGGGGACCCGCACAAGCGGUGGAGCAUGUGGUUUAAUUCGAAGCAACGCGAAGAACCUUACCAAAUCUUGACAUCCUUUGACAACUCUAGAGAUAGAGCCUUCCCCUUCGGGGGACAAAGUGACAGGUGGUGCAUGGUUGUCGUCAGCUCGUGUCGUGAGAUGUUGGGUUAAGUCCCGCAACGAGCGCAACCCUUAAGCUUAGUUGCCAUCAUUAAGUUGGGCACUCUAAGUUGACUGCCGGUGACAAACCGGAGGAAGGUGGGGAUGACGUCAAAUCAUCAUGCCCCUUAUGAUUUGGGCUACACACGUGCUACAAUGGACAAUACAAAGGGCAGCGAAACCGCGAGGUCAAGCAAAUCCCAUAAAGUUGUUCUCAGUUCGGAUUGUAGUCUGCAACUCGACUACAUGAAGCNGGAAUCGCUAGUAAUCGUAGNUCAGC